UCUUAGGGAUGAGCAAAGAAAUUGGUUUCCUGAGAUGGAGUCUACUCCUGGUGAAGAUGCUGUGGA
rnacentral:pre_miRNA from 1 species